CAGGUAUCAUUACUGCUAAAGGAGGCCGAGGAGUAACUAAACAUCUGACACAAUGAGCAGGAAAGUGCAGGAGGGACAGGUGAAGUAGCCAUGGUGCUAACGAGUCGGCUGCGAGCUAAGGGUCGCGGGGGCGCUGGAGCCUAUCCCAGCUGUCAUAGGGCGAGAGGCGGGGUACACCCUGGACAGGUCGCCAGUCUGUCGCAGGGCUAAUGAUGGCCUUUUUGGCCAGGGUGAAGGGAGUAUCUGCCAUCAAACAAGAAGACAGCCGCAUGUAACUACGACGGUGUUUGCUAGUUCACCUUACAUGCAUUAAUGUAAUAAUGUGGUUACCGUACUCAACGUUAAUUACACACGAACAACAUCAUGAAGCUACUCACACAGAGAAGAACGGCUGCUGCCAUCAUCAUCAUCCGUCAUCAUUUCUGCUACGCUGACAGGGCUAGGGGCCAGGACUCUACUCUUCGGGUUUUUGGGGAUGUUGCUAACUCCGGGUCCGAUAACAGGCACCACACCUGCAGUAGAUGUGCACAGUGUGAGGUCUCG
ensembl:lncRNA